AAGUUGUGUCCGCAGGGUGUGGAGACGGGCUCGUCGAACAGAUCCAGGCAGAUGGAGCAGGUUAACUCCUGCUCUGAGAACAGAUCCGGAGCCGCUGCCUCCGCCAUCGUCAUGCUGCUGCUGGGGAAGACACAGCUGAGUAGUACCUGUGGAUGUAAUAGAUUACUUUUAACUGAAGAACACUUAAACAGCUGCAGCUCGUCGCUUCUGAACACAAACUUUGUUCUCACGCAGAAAUAAAAACAUGAAUCUGAAGUUUGGUGACGUCAUCGAGGAUCCUGCAGGUAAAACUGGAGCAGAGAUCCAGUCCGACCACAUUCCACUGAGUCAGAACUGAACUCCAACACACAAACUGACUCAACUGAGACAGAAAUAACAAACAGCAGCCAUCAACGCACACACACAGGUGUGACCAGGAGGACAGGGGGCGUGGCCAACUCACCUGUAUGUCAGGUGUGUUCAGUGUUACCUGUUCUCCUCCAGGAACAGGAGAUUUUUAACAUUCAUGCAAACGGAGGAUCGAAACGAACGAA